rnacentral:rRNA from 1 species
CCUACGGGUGACAGCAGUGGGGGAUAUUGGGCAAUGGGCGCAACCCUGACCCAGCAACGCCGCGUGAAGGAAGAAGGCUUUCGGGUUGUAAACCUCUUUUACAGGGGAAGAGCAGAAGGCGGUACCCUGAAAACAACCCACGGCUAACUACGUCCCACCAGCCGCGGAAAUACGUAGGUGCGAAGCGUUUCCCGGAUUUACUGGGUGUAAAGGGCGUGUAGCCGGGAAGGGAAGUCAGAUGUGAAACCUGGGGGCUCAACCUGCAAACUGCAUUUGAAACUGUUUUGCUUGAGUACUGGAGAGGCAGACGGAAUUCCUUGUGUAGCGGUGAAAUGCGUAGAUAUAAGGAGGAACACCAGUGGCGAAGGCGGUCUGCUGGACAGUAACUGACGGUGAGGCGCGAAAGCGUGGGGAGCAAACAGGAUUAGAUACCCGUGUAGUC